GGAACAGACUGAAUAUAUGUCUCGGUCCGGCAGAGGCGAAAGGUGUGCCAGUCCGUCAAAGGUCGGUUGAAGAUGACAGACGCUUAAAGUAAUUACCCUCCAAAAAGGGCUGGCCAAAUUACCAUUAUGAGGUGGGACAAUAUCCUCAUGCUUUUUGCUGCAGGCGAAGACCUGGCGGGCCGCACAGAUCUAUUGCCAAGCGAACUACGUCAGCCUGGCGUCCAUCAACAACAUGGCGGAGCAGGCCGAGCUCGAACAACUUCUGAAAAUCCACGAAGCGGACGAGAAAAGUCUGGACUGGCUUGAACAAGGGUGUGUGGUUGUGGUCAUUACAGGAUGCUAAUUUGUACAGCUCGGGAGAAGUUGGGUUUAGACACUGGGCUACAGGUCAACCAGACCAAGAGGGCCAAGACUGUGUUCUGCUGUCACUGACUCAAGGCGGCUGGGUAGACCACCACUGCACUGACCAAAAGAGCUUUGUC